GAAGCUAUAUACAGGGAGUACCAGUACCAGAUCAAUGUGAAGCUAUAUACAGGGAGUACCAGUACCAGAUCAAUGUGAAGCUAUAUACAGGGAGUACCAGUACCAGAUCAAUGUGAAGCUAUAUACAGGGAGUACCAGAUCAAUGUGAAGCUAUAUACAGGGAGUACCAGUACCAGAUCAAUGUGAAGCUAUAUACAGGGAGUACCAGUACCAGAUCAAUGUGAAGCUAUAUACAGGGAAUACCAGUACCAGAUCAAUGUGAAGCUAUAUACAGGGAGUACCAGUACCAGAUCAAUGUGAAGCUAUAUACAGGGAGUACCAGAUCAAUGUGAAGCUAUAUACAGGGAGUACCAGUACCAGAUCAAUGUGAAGCUAUAUACAGGGAGUACCAGAUCAAUGUGAAGCUAUAUACAGGGAAUACCAGAUAAAUGUGGAGCUAUAUACAGGGAAUACCAGAUCAAUGUGGAGCUAUAUACAGGGAGUACCAGAUCAAUGUGAAGCUAUAUACAGGGAAUACCAGUACCAGAUCAAUGUGAAGCUAUAUACAGGGAGUACCAGAUCAAUGUGGAGCUAUAUACAGGGAGUACCAGAUCAAUGUGGAGCUAUAUACAGGGAGUACCAGAUCAAUGUGGAGCUAUAUACAGGGAGUACCAGUACCAGAUCAAUGUGGAGCUAUAUACAGGGAGUACCAGUACCAGAUCAAUGUGAAGCUAUAUACAGGGAGUACCAGUACCAGAUCAAUGUGGAGCUAUAUACAGGGAGUACCAGUACCAGAUCAAUGUGAAGCUAUAUACAGGGAGUACCAGUACCAGAUCAAUGUGAAGCUAUAUACAGGGAGUACCAGAUCAAUGUGAAGCUAUAUACAGGAGUACCAGUACCAGAUCAAUGUGAAGCUAUAUACAGGGAGUACCAGAUCAAUGUGAAGCUAUAUACAGGGAGUACCAGUACCAGAUCAAUGUGAAGCUAUAUACAGGGAGUACCAGUACCAGAUCAAUGUGAAGCUAUAUACAGGGAGUACCAGAUCAAUGUGAAGCUAUAUACAGGGAGUACCAGUACCAGAUCAAUGUGAAGCUAUAUACAGGGAGUACCAGUACCAGAUCAAUGUGAAGCUAUAUACAGGGAAUACCAGUACCAGAUCAAUGUGAAGCUAUAUACAGGGAGUACCAGUACCAGAUCAAUGUGAAGCUAUAUACAGGGAGUACCAGAUCAAUGUGAAGCUAUAUACAGGGAGUACCAGUACCAGAUCAAUGUGAAGCUAUAUACAGGGAGUACCAGUACCAGAUCAAUGUGGAGCUAUAUACAGGGAGUACCAGAUCAAUGUGAAGCUAUAUACAGGGAGUACCAGUACCAGAUCAAUGUGAAGCUAUAUACAGGGAGUACCAGAUCAAUGUGAAGCUAUAUACAGGGAGUACCAGUACCAGAUCAAUGUGGAGCUAUAUACAGGGAGUACCAGAUCAAUGUGCAUGUGUACGAGGUAUUUGAGGUAGACAUGUACAUGAAGGCAGGGUAAAGUGACUUGGCAUCAGGAUAGAUAAUAAUAAGCUAUUUGAGGUUGAUAUGUACAUGAAGGCAGGGUAAAGUGACUUGGCAUCAGGAUAGAUAAUAAUAAGCUAUUUGAGGUUGAUAUGUACAUGAAGGCAGGGUAAAGUGACUUGGCAUCAGGAUAGAUAAUAAUAAGCUAUUUGAGGUUGAUAUGUACAUGAAGGCAGGGUAAAGUGACUUGGCAUCAGGAUAGAUAAUAAUAAGCUAUUUGAGGUUGAUAUGUACAUGAAGGCAGGGUAAAGUGACUUGGCAUCAGGAUAGAUAAUAAUAAGCUAUUUGAGGUUGAUAUGUACAUGAAGGCAGGGUAAAGUGACUUGGCAUCAGGAUAGAUAAUAAUAAGCUAUUUGAGGUUGAUAUGUACAUGAAGGCAGGGUAAAGUGACUUGGCAUCAGGAUAGAUAAUAAUAAGCUAUUUGAGGUUGAUAUGUACAUGAAGGCAGGGUAAAGUGACUAGACAUCAGGAUAGAUAAUAAUAAGGUAUUUGAGGUAGAUAUGUACAUGAAGGCAGGGUAAAGUGACUAGACAUCAGGAAAGAUGAUAAUAAGAGUAAAAUAAAGAACAGAGGCACAGCAGCAAAUGAUGUUUAACAAGGCACAAUUGUUAAUUGAAAUCCAUUCCAGGUGACUACCUCAUGAAGCUGGUUGAGAGAAUGCCAAGUGUGCAAAGCUGUCAUCAUGGCAAAGGGUGGCCACUUUAAAGAAUCUCAAAUAUAAAAUAUAUUUCUUUAACACUUUUUGGUUACUACAUGAUUCCAUAUGUGUUAUUUCAUAGUUUUUAUGUCUUCACUAUUAUUCUACAACAUAGACAAUAUUAAAAAUAAAGAAAAACCCUUGAAUGAGAAGGUGUGUCCAAACUUUUGCCUGGGUGGCUGGAGUCUUUGGCAAUUCUUCGAGCCUUCCUCUGGCACCGCCUGAUAUAGAGGUCCUGGAUGGCACGGAACUGGGCCAGGCGAUGUGCUAGGCUGUCCGCAUCACCCGAUGUAGCACUUUGCAGUCAAGGGUGGUGCAUUUACCAUACCAAGCGGUGAUGCAGCCAGUAAAGAUGCUCUCGAUGGUGUAGCUGUAAAACCUAAGGGCCGAUGCCAAAUAUUUUCAGCCUCCUGAGGGGGAAGACAUGAUAUUCUGGGUGAAUACAAUUUGCUGCAGCAGGCAGCCCUCUGUCUCUGUACGUAGGGAAUAGAGUGCCUUUUGGGACCCAGCCAGAGUUCACCGGCGCCAGAGAAUUUAAUCAGACCACUCCCUGUGGGCCCCAGCCUCCUGAAACAACAUUUAACAGACUCAUUUCAGCAGCUCAAGUCACGCUAUCAUCCCACUGUACACCGGACCCAGUCGAAUUUAAGUAGCUUACUUCAUGUGAGAAUCCAUAGCUGUAAGGGACAUAACAUAGAGGCUGAAGUCUAUUGUGUUUUCACAACAGGUUGAAUUAAAAGAACAUGAAAAAAAGGAGUUCAAAGACAAGUGGUGGUCUCUUUUAGUACAGAGUCAAAACAGCAGCUCAAUGUCUAUUGAUCUCCCUUCAUUAGGCUGGAAAUGUGCUGAUCAACACAGCUGCGCCUUCUGACACUGAAAACAGGUUAUAUACUGUAUAUCUUACAUCACACAGCACCUUCUCAAAGGUCAUACUGCAGUUAGUUGAUUGAUCCAACACGAUUCUAGGAGUAGGAAGACAUGCAAGUCGAAAUGUUGUUUAUCGGGGUCCUUGCAAUUACAAUGUUAUUACUACAAUGAAUACUGUAUAGUUACACAUGUUUAAGUUAAUACUGUAUUAUUACACAGGUUUAAGUUAAUAUUGUAUAGUUACACAGGUUUAAGUUAAUAUUGUAUAGUUACACAGGUUUAAGUUAAUAUUGUAUAGUUACACAGGUUUAAGUUAAUAUUGUAUAGUUACACAGGUUUAAGUUAAUAUUGUAUAGUUACACAGGUUUAAGUUAAUAUUGUAUAGUUACACAGGUUUAAGUUAAUAUUGUAUAGUUACACAGGUUUAAGGGCAAAUUCAGAUGAAGUGUUAUCUAAAAAAAUGCAUUGAGUUAAAGUGCCACACACACAGCCAAGCAGUCAGACACACUCCUAUCAAGCCAAGCCGUCUCCUACCU